AGCUACUGUAUCCACAUCUGUACGGUAGUGACGAGAUUUCCUACUCGCUGCACAGCCUCGUAACAUCUACAACCUACAUCGAAAUGGUCAUUGAAAAUAAGAGUAAACAUCAAGGUUUUGAUUUGACCCACAUUUUAGUCUUUGUGGUCAGGGCAUGAUGGGCUACCAUGAGCCUCCAGCCUGAUACCCUUGUGUGCUAGAACAUCCAAUCCAGAUCUGCUCCUCUGAGAAUGGAAAUAGUCGGGAUGAAAGGAUGAAAGGUGUGUGUGGGUGCAGAGUCUCCUUUCCGCAGUGACCCGCUGCUCUGCCUUGCUUGGCUUCCUGUCUGCUGCCUAGCAACAUGCCGUAUCUAUGGAAACAAAGCCAACAAACCAUCCUACUUUCAUCAUCUAAACCCUCACAAACAAUGUCUAUAAGUACAGCAAUCAACAGCGCAGAUGGAAUUUAAUAAGAGGCCGUGCUGAACAAAGGAGUCACAUGUUAAUAAUUACUCAUUAAUUUUCAAUUGCUUGUAAUUUGUGUUGAUUCACUCUAACAUCUUACCAAUGAUGAAACUCCUAGAGGCAUCGCGACCAGAUGGGAGCACGUGGUUACUCGGCGACGUGCGCGCGCUCUGAAUGGCCACGUGGUGGAGCAAAAGUCAAACAAUUGGGCACAAAGCGAGGCGGCAGCACUGAUUGACUAUAACCAUCUACUUUGAUUUAUGAAUUGGCACUUUGUGCACGAAUACAUUUUUUUCUUCACGAUUUAUGAACACGUAAUUC